rnacentral:rRNA from 1 species
UGCUCAGGAUGAACGCUGGCGGCGUGCCUAAUACAUGCAAGUCGAGCGAACGGACGAGAAGCUUGCUUCUCUGAUGUUAGCGGCGGACGGGUGAGUAACACGUGGAUAACCUACCUAUAAGACUGGGAUAACUUCGGGAAACCGGAGCUAAUACCGGAUAAUAUUUUGAACCGCAUGGUUCAAAAGUGAAAGACGGUCUUGCUGUCACUUAUAGAUGGAUCCGCGCUGCAUUAGCUAGUUGGUAAGGUAACGGCUUACCAAGGCAACGAUGCAUAGCCGACCUGAGAGGGUGAUCGGCCACACUGGAACUGAGACACGGUCCAGACUCCUACGGGAGGCAGCAGUAGGGAAUCUUCCGCAAUGGGCGAAAGCCUGACGGAGCAACGCCGCGUGAGUGAUGAAGGUCUUCGGAUCGUAAAACUCUGUUAUUAGGGAAGAACAUAUGUGUAAGUAACUGUGCACAUCUUGACGGUACCUAAUCAGAAAGCCACGGCUAACUACGUGCCAGCAGCCGCGGUAAUACGUAGGUGGCAAGCGUUAUCCGGAAUUAUUGGGCGUAAAGCGCGCGUAGGCGGUUUUUUAAGUCUGAUGUGAAAGCCCACGGCUCAACCGUGGAGGGUCAUUGGAAACUGGAAAACUUGAGUGCAGAAGAGGAAAGUGGAAUUCCAUGUGUAGCGGUGAAAUGCGCAGAGAUAUGGAGGAACACCAGUGGCGAAGGCGACUUUCUGGUCUGUAACUGACGCUGAG